rnacentral:rRNA from 1 species
AGUGGACGCUGGCGGUAGGCCUAACACAUGCAAGUCGAACGGCAGCACAGUAAGAGCUUGCUCUUACGGGUGGCGAGUGGCGGACGGGUGAGGAAUACAUCGGAAUCUACUUUUUCGUGGGGGAUAACGUAGGGAAACUUACGCUAAUACCGCAUACGACCUACGGGUGAAAGCAGGGGAUCUUCGGACCUUGCGCGAUUGAAUGAGCCGAUGUCGGAUUAGCUAGUUGGCGGGGUAAAGGCCCACCAAGGCGACGAUCCGUAGCUGGUCUGAGAGGAUGAUCAGCCCACAUGGAACUGAGAACCGGCCCAGCCCCCUACGGGAGGCAGCGGUGGGGAAUUUUGGCAAAUGGGCGCAAGCCUGAUCCAGCCAUACCGGGUGGGUGAAGAAGGCCUUCGGGUUGUAAAGCCCUUUUGUUGGGAAAGAAAAGCAGCAGGUUAAUCCCCCGCUGUUCUGACGGUACCCAAAGAAUAAGCCCCGGCUAACUUCGU